GAGCGGGGUUAUUUAGAAGCUUGCUUCUAAAUAACCUAGCGGCGGACGGGUGAGUAACACGUAGGCAACCUGCCCACAAGACAGGGAUAACUACCGGAAACGGUAGCUAAUACCCGAUACAUCCUUUUCCUGCAUGGGAGAAGGAGGAAAGGCGGAGCAAUCUGUCACUUGUGGAUGGGCCUGCGGCGCAUUAGCUAGUUGGUGGGGUAAAGGCCUACCAAGGCGACGAUGCGUAGCCGACCUGAGAGGGUGAUCGGCCACACUGGGACUGAGACACGGCCCAGACUCCUACGGGAGGCAGCAGUAGGGAAUCUUCCGCAAUGGGCGAAAGCCUGACGGAGCAACGCCGCGUGAGUGAUGAAGGUUUUCGGAUCGUAAAGCUCUGUUGCCAGGGAAGAACGUCUUGUAGAGUAACUGCUACAAGAGUGACGGUACCUGAGAACAAAGCCCCGGCUAACUACGUGCCACCAGCCGCGGUAAUACGUCGGGGGCAAGCGUUGUCCGGAAUUAUUGGGCGUCAAGCGCGCGCAGGCGGCUCUUUCAGUCUGGUGUUUAAUCCCGAGGCUC
rnacentral:rRNA from 1 species